UAAGCCUCCCAGCCCGUAUGUGCUCUGAUUUUAGGGUUGAUCGUGCUCUUUCUUCUCUGCCAUCUGAAAGCUUGGGAUGCUGUAGUCGACGUGACGAUUUCGUUUGUAGGGUUUCGAUCAAUUGAAACAAAGCCAGUUACAGAUUCAUCGCAUUAAACAUCUUCUCAACUCCUUCAGCCACGAUCUAUUUUUCAUUUUCUCGAUAUAAAAAGGUUGCUGCGGACUUGUAAAGCAAAUCUGAAACCGAAGAAGAUGAAGAAUCGAGACAUAAGAUCUUUUUCAGAUCUUGCAAUUGUUUUUCAUUGGUAUUUUCUCACAGUUGGUCAAUUCUCUUUUGAGCUUCUAAUAUAAGAUGGAAGGUGACGGAGCAAGCGGCGUAGGAGAAAGAGCAUGAGAAAUGCAGCACUCGGCGGAGAGAAACAAAGAAAGCUGCGGAGAGCGACGGAGAAAGUAGUGGAAGAGCAACAGAGCAAUGAACAAGCGGCGUUGAGAUGGAGCAAGUGACUGAAAUAGUGAGAUGGACAGCCAUGAAACAAGCGACGGAUAGUGUGACAAGAGAUAGCAGAUGCAAUUGCUGCAGUUCAAUCUGGCACAAGGGAGGUUGAUAGGCUCUCGGACAGGGUUACUAUCUCGAAUUUCCUUUUCCGUUGACGUUUACAGUCUACUGCUUAACACGCUAACUUCCACUGUUCCUAACUAAGUUAGAGAACAGAACCUUCACUUUCCAACUGAAGCUCACUGAGUUCAACUUCACUUCCAAGCAUCAGUCAUUCACCAUCUCCCACAUAUUUGAAAAGCAUCAGCGUCCACCACUACCAAGCUUCGCUGAACAAAGAAGUAACAAUCAACCUGGUGAAGACAUGCCACGAGCUGGUGCGAGUGAUCGUCUUGGGAUUGUUGAAGGAGGUGAUGUUGAUCCACCAAUCCAAUCUGAUGAAGCUGUUUUUGUUGACUCCACCACUACCAAUGAACCACCCACGGAUGAUUUGUGUGAAGGGAAAAUGCCACGCAUAGCUUAGCGUCCUAACUUCAGCAUGAGUUGUUGAUGUUUCAGUCGUCAUCCUCGCCUCUAUCUUUUCUCUGUUUUUUUCCUGGUUUUAGUAUUUUAGUACCCAGAGUUACUUCUCAGAUGAAACCUAUUUUAUGUUUUGUUUUAGAUCCGACGUAUUAGUUUUCCUUACCAUCUUGGACAUAAACAUGAUAUAUGUAAAAGGUUAUGAGUGGUAGACGACAGCUCCAUGUUAGAGUGCAUGUGCAUGUUAGACGAGCCGUACAACCUGCCCGCACUGCGGUUUUGCAGCGUAAGAAACCAACCUCAAGUGCUGAAGAUGAUAUAACAGGUGGAUCAAGAUUGACUUCUCAGACUGUUCUGAGGCAAGCAGUACCAACUGCAACCUCUAAAAGUUACACCUUCAAAACAAUAUGGUCAUGUAGUUUUCAUUUUUUUUUUCUCUUUCUGUUUUACAGUAUAAAGACACUUGUUUAACUAA